AGGGAUAUAGCUCAAUUGAUAGAGUGCUUGCCUUGCAUGCACAAGGCCCUGGGUUCAAUUCCCAGAAGCACCA
rnacentral:tRNA from 1 species